rnacentral:rRNA from 1 species
CGGAGGGUGCAAGUGUUAUCCGGAUUCACUGGGUUUAAAGGGAGCGUAGGUGGGCUGGUAAGUCAGUGGUGAAAUCUCCGAGCUUAACUUGGAAACUGCCAUUGAUACUAUUAGUCUUGAAUAUUGUGGAGGUCAGCGGAAUAUAUCAUGUAGCGGUGAAAUGCUUAGAGAUGACAUAGAACACCAAUUGCGAAGGCAGCUGGCUACGCAUAUAUUGACACUGAGGCUCGAAAGCGUGGGGAUCAAACAGGAUUAGAUACCCUGGUAGUCCACGCCCUAAACUAUGGAUACUCGACAUACGCGAUACACUGUGUGUGUCUGAGCGAAAGCAUUAAGUAUCCCACCUGGGAAGUACGAUCGCAAGAUUG